rnacentral:tRNA from 1 species
GCGGGUGUGGCGGAAUUGGCAGACGCACUAGACUUAGGAUCUAGCGCCUUUGGCGUGGGGGUUNNUCCCGUCUUCCGCUCCA